rnacentral:lncRNA from 1 species
AUUUCGUCUGUCGCUGCUUUUUUUCAGCAGCAGCUGCACCUCCACUGAACUUCCCAUAGAGGCUCUUCAGUGCUUCCUUUUCCCUGAGAUCGCUGCCCUACAAUGGACGGAAGAUGAACGAGCAGCUUUUCUAACAUUUCUCAUAUCCCUGUAUUUGCACCUGGGCUGUUUUUCCAGCCUCCAGAUAAGUUUUGCCUCAUCUGCCUUUCGAGACAGUAUCUCAUGAUCUCACACACUCCUGGCCCUGGGGGCACCGCAGCUUUGCCACCCACUUACCAGGAAGAGCAGUCCUGUUGGGAACCAGGAGGAGAAGGAGCCCUGGGGUGAGCUGAGCCCUGCAGAUCCAGCCAGGGCAGAGCCAGGAGGAGCAGUCAGCCCUGCUGCAUUGCUGGUGGGCAAAGCAGAGGAAACCUGCUCCUUUCCCAGGGCAGAUGCAGUUACAGGGACAAGUUUGUCAGCUUCAUAAACAAAUAUACACAAGGCCAGUUAAAACCUGGGGGCAUUUCCCUGCGAAGAUAAGGAGGAUGGUUUGCAAAUCAGGAGAGCAAAAGGAAAAUGCUGCUAAUGUUAUUCUUGUUUUCUAAGCCAGCAAUUGCCUGCAGGUGCAAGGCUUUCUUAACCACGCAGAGAAAAGGAGAAGGCAGUGCUGAGAGUCUUCCACAUCCCCGGGGUUCAAAGGGGAAACACAUGCUCCUGAACUCAACAACACUGACAUUGCUGUCAAGGAGUUUGAGGAAGCAAUUCGAGUCAUCCUUGGAAAUCUUGAUGAUUUACAUCCAUUUUCUACAGAUCACUUCACUAUCUUUCCAUAUUUGAGUAAAUGGGAAAGAGUAUCAAAAAUGAGAUUCAAACAUGAGAAUGUCAAUCUCGUGCCUUAUCCCUACAUUUGCACUAUGUAUCUGGAGCUCAACUCAUUUCAGCAAAGUUUGUCCUUGGGUAAAGAAGUCAACAGCAACAAUUCUGAGCCUGUCAAGAGAAAAAGUGAAAUACCAGAAAGUACUGAAAUGGAAGAAACAGGGAAGAGGAGAAGAGUUGAAGGUCAAACAGAGACCUCAUAUCCAAAGUUAUGUAUGGACAGACCUGGAGCUGAGAGUGUUCACCAUGCAACUAAAGUAGAGCAUGGAUUUGAAAAGGUAAGCUACAGAAUAUUCAGAAAGACACAACAGUACUUAGUCCUAGAUUCUCAAGAUGGCAAGCAUAAAAUGCCUUCAGGUAUGUUUUUUCCCUUGUCAUUUGCAUCUGUGAUAGUGACUUUCUUGAUUGCUGCUCAUCAAAAUCAGUCAGAUGGUGAGUUUUACAGAGACAACACACAAACUUUUCUGGUUCUUCAGCUAAGAACUAAGGGUAAGCUUAACCUCUCAGAGAUGAACCUGAAGAAUUGCCUACCUUGA